UUCCGGUUGAUCCUGCCGGACCUGACUGCUAUCGGAUUGAUACUAAGCCAUGCGAGUCAUUGUAGUAAUACAAGGCAGACGGCUCAGUAACGCGUAGUCAACCUAACCUAUGGACGGGAAUAACCUCGGGAAACUGAGUAUAAUGCCCGAUAGAACAUUAUGCCUGGAAUGGUUUAUGUUCCAAAUGAUUUAUCGCCGUAGGAUGGGACUGCGGCCUAUCAGUUUGUUGGUGAGGUAAUGGCCCACCAAGACUAUUACAGGUACGGGCUCUGAGAGGAGUAGCCCGGAGAUGGGUACUGAGACACGGACCCAGGCCCUAUGGGGCGCAGCAGGCGAGAAAACUUUGCAAUGUGCGAAAGCACGACAAGGUUAAUCCGAGUGGUUUCUGCUAAAGGAACCUUUUGUUAGUCCUAGAAACACUAACGAAUAAGGGGUGGGCAAGUUCUGGUGUCAGCCGCCGCGGUAAAACCAGCACCUCAAGUGGUCAGGAUGAUUAUUGGGCCUAAAGCAUCCGUAGCCGGUCCUGUAAGUUUUCGGUUAAAUCUGUACGCUCAACGUACAGGCUGCCGGAAAUACUGCAGGACUAGGGAGUGGGAGAGGUAGACGGUACUCGGGAGGAAGGGGUAAAAUCCUUUGAUCUCUCGAUGACCACCUGUGGCGAAGGCGGUCUACCAGAACACGUCCGACGGUGAGGGAUGAAAGCUGGGGGAGCAAACCGGAUUAGAUACCCGGGUAGUCCCAGCUGUAAACUAUGCAAACUCAGUGAUGCGUUGACUUGCGGUCAAUGCAGUGCUGCAGGGAAGCCGUUAAGUUGCCGCCUGGGAAGUACGUACGCAAGAUAAACCUAAAAGAAUUGCGGGGGGAGCAC
rnacentral:rRNA from 1 species